ACCACAUAUUUUGUUUCUACAUCAGACG
rnacentral:sRNA from 1 species